GACGAACGCUGGCGGCGCGCUUAACACAUGCAAGUCGAGCGAGAACCAGACCUUCGGGUCUGGGGACAGCGGCGAACGGGUGAGUAACACGUGGGUAAUCAACCCUCGGUACUGGGAUAGCCCGGGGAAACCCGGAUUAAUACCGGAUGGCCCUUCGGAUCUUCGGUUCUGAAGGAAAAGGUAGCUUCGGCCUCCGACCGAGGACGAGCCCGCGGCGGAUUAGCUUGUUGGUGGGGUAACGGCCUACCAAGGCGACGAUCCGUAGCUGGUCUGAGAGGACGAUCAGCCACACUGGGACUGAGACACGGCCCAGACUCCUACGGGAGGCAGCAGUGGGGAAUCUUGCGCUAAUGCGGGAAACCGUGACGCAGCGACGCCGCGUGGGGGAAGGCCUUCGGGUUGUAAACCUCUUUCAGGAGGGACGAAGCUACUCGGGUUAAUAGCCCAGAGGGUGACGGUACCUCCAGAAGAAGCCCCGGCUAACUACGUGCCAGCCGCCGCUUAA
rnacentral:rRNA from 1 species